GCCGGUUUAGCUCAGGGGUAGAGCAGCGGUUUUGUAAACCGUUGGUCGGCGGUUCAAAUCCGUCAACCGGCACCA
rnacentral:tRNA from 1 species